GAGUACAAGGAAGACAAGAUUGAUUGUGAGCUUACUACUUUUCUUUUGUUUUAGAACUCAGAACUGUCAAUUGUACUAUUGUCAUGCAUGAUGCCUUAUCGUUCAUUUAUUUUUCCCUUGGAAGAGUGUAUAUGAUUUCAAUAUAGGAGAAGCAAUUCUCCAUGAUAAUUACAUGACACCAGUGCAAUGUUUCUCUCUCUAGAAAUUUUGAUUUGC
rnacentral:lncRNA from 1 species